GUGCAUCUGUGGGGAUAUUUUUGCAUACAUGCUUACUAGAUAUUAGUCGCAUGUGAUUGUGUAUUGUUGCAUUUGAUUGAGCUAUGCAUGCUGCAUAUGGAUGUCAUGUCGCAUACAUGUCAUUUACUUUACAUAUAUUUGCAGCCGUAUAUGUAUUGCACAGGUGUCGGGAGUAUGUUGUUGACUCGGUGGGUUUACGGAUCAUGGUAGCAGGGUAUUGGUUCUGUUCGGGCAGUAGGUAGAUGAUAUGGAGAUGCUUGGAGUAUGCUGCUGGCCGGUCCCCUUUCCCACGUCAUAUCCGAGGACCUUUGUCGAUUUUGUUUCUCUUUUCUUACACUUCGUAUUUGUUGGAUUUAGAGUUGUGAGAACGAAUUGUGUUUUUGAUAUGUGUGUUGUGGACUUGUAUCUAUGAUGUGUUUCGUGGACUUUUGUAUUUGUGGGUUUUCUCUUCGCCGUUCCGUUGUGUUUUGACAUGGCCGCGUGGGCUAUAUAUUAGUCGUAUGCUUGUUUUCAUUUCUUUUA